UACGUAGGGCGCAAGCGUUAUCCGGAAUUAUUGGGCGUAAAGAGCUCGUAGGCGGUUUGUCGCGUCUGCCGUGAAAGUCCGGGGCUCAACUCCGGAUCUGCGGUGGGUACGGGCAGACUAGAGUGAUGUAGGGGAGACUGGAAUUCCUGGUGUAGCGGUGAAAUUCGUAGAUAUUAGCAGGAACACCGGUGGCGAAGGCGGCUAUCUGGACGACAACUGACGCUGAGGCGCGAAAGCGUGGGGAUCAAACAGG
rnacentral:rRNA from 1 species